rnacentral:rRNA from 1 species
CUAUACUUUAACACUUGUGAACCGUUUGAGAGUAUCUCUCUCAUUUUAUUAUACUAUUAGACUGAAACCACUUUAUAUAACAAUUAUAAAACUUUUAGCAACGGAUCUCUGGGCUCUCGCAACGAUGAAGAACGCAGCGAAUUGCGAAAGUAAUGUGAAUUGCAUAUACCGUGAAUCAUCAAAUCUUUGAACGCACCUUGCACCAUUGGGAACUCCCGAUGGUACGUCUGUUUGAGUAUCAAUCAACACCUGCAAACUUUGCUUUUAACCGAGCCAUACUUUGCAUAUCGAUUGGAUAGUUAUAUUACUACCGAUUUAGAUACAUAGUCUAGCCACGCUAGUCAACAGAGUUUAACACUUCUGUGUGAUGAAUGUAGCAGCAUGACUGGGGCUUCUUGAAGUCUUUAACUUUGAUCUCAAAUCAGACGAGGAUACCCGCUGAACUUAA